UACGGAGGGUGCAAGCAUUGAUCGGAAUUACUGGGCGUAAAGGGCGCGUAGGCGGUCUGAAAAGUCAGAUGUGAAAUUCCGGGGCUCAACCCCGGAGCUGCAUUUGAAACUUUCAGACUUGAGGUUGGUAAGGGAAAACGGAAUUCCACGUGUAGCGGUGAAAUGCGUAGAUAUGUGGAAGAACACCGGUGGUGAAGACGGUUUUCUGUGCCAAACCUGACGCUGAGGCGCGAAAGCUAGGGGAGCAAACAGG
rnacentral:rRNA from 1 species